rnacentral:antisense_RNA from 1 species
GCUUUUGCCCGAGUGCCAACUGGGCAAAAAGCGCGCGCCCCUCCUCGCUAAGGUUCUUUUUAAAAUGCGCAAUUUCUUGAAU